rnacentral:piRNA from 1 species
UGGGGAGAACGGCAGUCAGAUUCCUCCCA